rnacentral:misc_RNA from 1 species
GAUGAAGAACGUAGCGAAAUGCGAUAAGUAGUGUGAAUUGCAGAAUUCAGUGAAUCAUCGAAUCUUUGAACGCACAUUGCGCCCCCUGGUAUUCCGGGGGGCAUGCCUGUCCGAGCGUCAUUGCUGCCCUCAAGCCCGGCUUGUGUGUUGGGUCUCGUCCCCCUUCCCGGGGGGACGGGCCCGAAAGGCAGCGGCGGCACCGUGUCCGGUCCUCGAGCGUAUGGGGCUUUGUCACCCGCUCUGUAGGCCCGGCCGGCGCUUGCCGAUCAACCAAAACUUUUUUCCAGGUUGACCUCGGAUCAGGUAGGGAUACCCGCUGAACUUAAGCAUAUCAAUAAGCGGAGGA